rnacentral:rRNA from 1 species
UACGAAGGGGGCUAGCGUUGCUCGGAAUUACUGGGCGUAAAGCGCACGUAGGCGGCUCUUUAAGUCGGGGGUGAAAUCCUGGAGCUCAACUCCAGAACUGCCUUUGAUACUGAGGAUCUUGAGUUCGGGAGAGGUGAGUGGAACUGCGAGUGUAGAGGUGAAAUUCGUAGAUAUUCGCAAGAACACCAGUGGCGAAGGCGGCUCACUGGCCCGAUACUGACGCUGAGACGCGAAAGCGUGGGGAGCAAACAGG